rnacentral:rRNA from 1 species
GGGGUGGCUUCCGGAUUAUUGGGCGUAAGCGCGCGCAGGUGGUUUCUUAAGUCUGAUGUGAAAGCCCACGGCUCAACCGUGGAGGGUCAUUGGAAACUGGGAGACUUGAGUGCAGAAGAGGAAAGUGGAAUUCCAUGUGUAGCGGUGAAAUGCGUAGAGAUAUGGAGGAACACCAGUGGCGAAGGCGACUUUCUGGUCUGUAACUGACACUGAGGCGCGAAAGCGUGGGGAGCAAACGGGAUUAGAUACCCCGGUAGUCCUAGCCGUAAACGAUGGGCACUAGGUGUGGGAGGUAUCGACCCCUUCCGUGCCGCAGCUAACGCAUUAAGUGCCCCGCCUGGGGAGUACGGCCGCAAGGUUGAAACUCAAAGGAAUUGACGGGGGCCCGCACAAGCGGUGGAGCAUGUGGUUUAAUUCGACGCAACGCGAAGAACCUUGCCAGGGCUUGACAUCCCGCGAAUCCCUCCGAAAGGUGGGAGUGCCCGCAAGGGAGCGCGGAGACAGGUGGUGCAUGGCUGUCGUCAGCUCGUGUCGUGAGAUGUUGGGUUAAGUCCCGCAACGAGCGCAACCCUCACCCCUUGUUGCCAACAGGUAAAGCUGGGCACUCUAGGGGAACUGCCCCGGUCAACGGGGAGGAAGGCGGGGAUGACGUCAAGUCAUCAUGCCCCUUACGUCCUGGGCUACACACGUGCUACAAUGGCCGGUACAAAGGGAUGCAAGACCGCGAGGUGGAGCUAAACCCAAAAAGCCGGUCUAAGUUCAGAUUGGAGUCUGCAACCCGACUCCAUGAAGGAGGAAUCGCUAGUAAUCGCGCAUCAGCACGGCGCGGUGAAUACGUUCCCGGGCCUUGUACACACCGCCCGUCACACCACGAAAGCCAGUUGUACUCGAAGUCGCUGAGCUAACCCGCAAGGAGGUAGGUGCCGAAUGUAUGACUGGUGAUUGGGGUGAAGUCGUAACAAGGUAACCAAGACU